GGAUGUGACGGGAACAAAGAGGAAGAAGGCGGGUUUAAGCCAAACCUUAACAACACGUAGAAGCGAAACUUAACUCCAGACCAGAUGGAUAUCCAGUCGCUGCUGCUCUGAGGUCUGUGUCUCUCUACUGACGUCGCCCUCCUGAACUCCUCACCUGCUCUGGUCUGCGUUACCUUCAAUAUCAGUUCCUGUUCUUGGUCAUGGAUGACUUUGUUUGUAACAAACUGACUGAAUGGGGUCUUAGUGAGCUCAUUGAUAGAUUUAA